rnacentral:rRNA from 1 species
AUUCCAGCUCCAAUAGCGUAUAUUAAAGUUGUUGCAGUUAAAAAGCUCGUAGUUGGAUUUCUGUUCUUGGGGAGCGGUCCGCCGCAAGGUGAGCACUGCAGCUCUGGGGACAUCCUCUCGAAGGCGGGUGGUGCACUUAAUUGUGUGCUACUUGGAUUCGGGACCUUUACUUUGAAAAAAUUAGAGUGUUCAAAGCAGGCGUCGGCUUGAAUACAUUAGCAUGGAAUAAUGGAAUAGGACUUUGGUUCUAUUUUGUUGGUUUCUAGGACCGAAGUAAUGAUUAAUAGGGACAGUUGGGGGCAUUAGUAUUUAAUUGUCAGAGGUGAAAUUCUUGGAUUUAUGAAAGACUAACUACUGCGAAAGCAUUUGCCAAGGAUGUUUUCAUCA